rnacentral:piRNA from 1 species
UAUGGUCUGUUGUUACCCUAACAUGAGGAA